UGGUUCGCGCCUCGUGCUUCUUGAUGAAAGUAUUCUUUUCUUUUCGGACAUCAUGACGCACAUUUUAGUGCAAUGCUUUAACGACGAUACGUGGGACGUUUAUCCGUUGAAGUGGUUGGCUCACCCAGCUACUAGUCUUCUACUGAUGUGCGAGCCUGGUUGUUUUGAUGAGUUGGGCGGCAGAGGUCUUGAUGCCUGUUGGAGAGAAGGCACCCCGAAACAGUCGCAGCCUCACUUCUGAAGAUAGGUCACGCAUGCAGCAAAUUCCCAGGUGCUAAAGUGUUCUACGCCAAAAGCACCUUGGCGUCGUGCAAGAGACACCCGUUGAUAUGUGGCUGAUUCACUAGCAAGCUCUCAUCUCUGUUGUUUUAAUCGCAGUGAAAGACGUGAUAAAGCUUGUAUAUGUUUACGUGAAGUCAUUUGUUUCAAGUUAUUUUGCCUUCUCACAGUCAGCUGUAGCUCUUCCUGUGAUGUGUUAGUGCACGAAACAUUUUAAUGUAACAUAUUCAGAUGUAUUUUGUGUAUUCACACGCUAGCAGCUUCAAAUGUUCAUGUGUUCAAAGUUGGUUGUUACAAGGGUAUGCUUAAGCCCUGCCUUUUGAGUCGCUUUGCCUUCUAGUCAUAAACUUAAUUCGAAAGUGAAGACCACAAUGAUCGCCUUGAUUAAAUUCAUAUGUAUAGGUUUUUUUCAGGUGUAUUUACACUGCUAGAGCGCUGUAGGUACUAGCCUAUGUCUCCAGGUUCGAUGUAGUGGUGCCUUAUGUACUGUAAUAAUGUUUCACGUGCACGCAUCUUUAGUGUAAAUAAAGGUACUUCAAGUU